rnacentral:lncRNA from 1 species
ACACCACAAACAUCAUUAACGCUGCAGUCACGGCCGGUUUCGUUGCUCAGUUCCCUGGUCUGAACGGUCUAGGCCUCUCUACAGCUAGACUUGACCUAGCUCCUAAAGGUGUCAUCCCAAUGCACACUCAUCCUGCUGCCUCUGAGGUUCUCUUUGUCCUUGAAGGCUCCAUUACCGCUGGGUUUGUCUCCUCUGCGAACUCUGUCUACGUGCAGACGCUUAAACCAGGACAGG